rnacentral:rRNA from 1 species
GACGAACGCUGGCGGCGUGCCUAAUACAUGCAAGUUGAGCGCUGAAGGUUGGUACUUGUACCAACUGGAUGAGCAGCGAACGGGUGAGUAACGCGUGGGGAAUCUGCCUUUGAGCGGGGGACAACAUUUGGAAACGAAUGCUAAUACCGCAUAAAAACUUUAAACACAAGUUUUAAGUUUGAAAGAUGCAAUUGCAUCACUCAAAGAUGAUCCCGCGUUGUAUUAGCUAGUUGGUGAGGUAAAGGCUCACCAAGGCGAUGAUACAUAGCCGACCUGAGAGGGUGAUCGGCCACAUUGGGACUGGGACACGGCCCAAACUCCUACGGGAGGCAGCAGUAGGGAAUCUUCGGCAAUGGACGAAAGUCUGACCGAGCAACGCCGCGUGAGUGAAGAAGGUUUUCGGAUCGUAAAACUCUGUUGGUAGAGAAGAACGUUGGUGAGAGUGGAAAGCUCAUCAAGUGACGGUAACUACACAGAAAGGGACGGCUAACUACGUG